AUUUGCACACAAGAUUGGAUUCGGGCUACACGUGAACCAUUCAUGAUUGAGGAGAGCUUGGAAGAGAUAGCAGAGCUUGAGUCAGAAUUUGUGUCUUCGGCAAUGGGAAAUACUACUCGUAUUCAUCUUGAUGAUUGAAGGUUUUGCAGCAUUUAAUUGAGAUAUUGGGAGAUCUACUCGUAUUGACUUAAUGUUGGU